AGAGUUAAGGCUGAUUGAUUUGUUGAAGGCACCUUGCCAUGCAAGCAAGGUACAAGUUUUGCACAUGAGUUGCUUGCUGAAAUGCCUGGCAAAGUGAUACAAUUGAUAUGGAUAUUUGAUACAAGUGAUAUGUGUGGUACCUUUGAGGAAUGAUAUGUGGAAGAGAUAUAUCUAGGGCUAUAGAGGUAGGAUAAGAAGUAUACGGGUACUUUCUCUGGCGAUAUGACUAUUUCAGGUACUUGUACGACUACUUUGCGACUUCCUCUUACUCAACAGUAAAACAACACGAGUUCAGAGAGCCAAGGGGCUUCCCCCCCACGGCCCCCCACCAUCACUCUGAAGCUUAAAUUAGGACAGAAAAAAAAAUGUAAGAAAAAUAGAGAGAAUAAAGGUAGAAGAAUAAGAAUUCAAGGAAACAAA